rfam:Methylomonas methanica MC09, complete genome.
AUUGUCGCGAGGCAGGGUCUGAAAGAAGCCGAACCCAAAGCUGCGGGGCGAUGAACAAGAACCGGAUAUGAGGCGUGAUACAUCCGGGGCGAGCGGGCACGUGACCGCGAAGCCCUCCAUCUACGAUCGGGGUGUAUUUUGUAAAUUCGGCGUUCGCGCAGCGAAAGAAACGUGU